AAAAGAUUUAUUCCAGCCUCAAAUAUACGUGUGUUUUCCAUACUUUUCGAUGAAACUCUCAGACUUUUCAAUAAAAUCACAUUCCCGCUUACAACAAAUUCAUCUAAUCUUAUAGAAAUUUCAAAUUUUUUUCUUUUAAUUUAAAGUUCACUCUCUUCAAAACCUGAAUUUGUUCAGUAGAACCCGUAAAUUCCAUUAAUUUAUUGUGUUAUCUCUAACCCUAAAUUUGCAUCCAUUUGCGUUUUCUCGAACCCUAAAACAACUUUGAUUUGUUGUGUGAUUUUCUCCUAAUUCUUCUUCAAACAACGACGACGCAAAUACUCAUGUAAUAGUACCUCGUAGCUCCAUUUGAAUCGAAAUCACCAUUUCAAAGGAAAGCACAGGUGGUAAUGGUGAGAAUUAGAGAAAGAAUAUAAACUAUGCAGGAAGAUAAAAAGAAUAUAGAUUACCAAAGAUAGUGUUCACUGGGUUGGCUGGGUUUGAAGCAACUUGAUUUUUAGCAGCAUCACCAACCAACCUUUGAAAAUCAGUAAAAGCCACAAAAGAAGGUUUGUCUACAAGAAUGUUAAUUUUGAGACUUCUCAAUAUUCUUCUCAAUUACUCAUAGUAUCAUAAGGUCUCUUAAUGUCCCUCAGAUGCUAUUAAUGUUGCAAAUAGAUGCAAGGCCCACUGCAGCAGCGACGACAAUUGCGGCUCAGAAGCAGAAGGUGAUGCUCUAGAUAGUGGAAGGUGAUAUUGCCAACUUCAUCUUAUAUUUCAUUAGGAGUACUUUGGUGGAGUAAGGCCUUUUCUUAUUUAGUUAUAUAUAUAUCUACACAUAUUUGUUAACCACUUAAAUAUUUGUAUUGUAAUGUGUUUUAAACUUGAUUGAAGCUCUUGAUUUGAUUCCUAGAAAAGGGAAUGCUUGAAGAGGUUAAAACAUAUGAAUAUGUUGUGAUUUUGGCACCAUUCUUCCUCAUAAAAGUGUUUGUGUCAUAUCUUUCGAACUGUAACUCUGUUUUGAGACGAAAUUCCCUUCAAGUUGGGCACCGAUUUUGUACGAUUUGGAAUAGUAAUAAGGUCGGAGUUCGCGUUCGAAGUUGGAACUCUGAUGCUGGAAAACGCAGGAAAUUCUGCAUACGAGUUUAGUGCUUUGGGACUGUUUUGAAGCUCAAUAAAUGUCAAGGUGGUCUCCGAUUUCCGAUUAAUUGAAGAAUAAUGUGUUUCUAGCUUCCCUAAAUAUGGUCAUGCUUGGCGGAAGAAAGGAGAUGGAAAGUUGUAGGAGAAACCUAUUUUUAAUUAUACAUCUGUCAAUAACUCUUUUUACACUUGAAAUGGCUAUAUCUAUGACGUUUGGCCAACAUUUGUUUUGCAAUGGUAUUCCACAUAUUGAUUUUUUAUAUUUUACUUUGAACAAUCAUAAAACUCUGCAUGACUAGGUUGGAAAUGUUGAAUCCAUAAUAUGUUACUACAUAUAUGGAGAGCAGAACCCAACUUUCCAGAAGCAGAGCUUUUGGAUGUUAUAUGUGUGAGUAGUUUUUUUAUGUUAAAUAGUUGUUUAUCCCUCGUACUAUCAUGUUAAUUAGUGAAUGUUACAUAUCCUUUAAAAUGAACAUAGCAUUUUAAAAGUAACUUAAUAUUAAAUGAGUUGCUAAGAUUAAAGAGUUUUGAAAUGAAUUUAACCUUAAACCUACACAAUUUAAUCAUUUAUAUGUUACUGUAGCAGUUUUUGUCCAUAAUCACGUAUGUUGUUGUUUCAUGGCUAGGAAUUUAUUCUUGCAUGGCAGUUGUUUUAUCAUAUUAUAUUAUUCACCUUGUUUUUAGAAACAUUAGGAUACUUCCGACCAACCAUGUAUUCCAGAUCACUAUUUGCACUCACAUGUUGUAGGAAAGGCUCAGUAUUGGACCUGGCAUACAAUUGUCGCCGUGUUCCUCUUUCUCAUUUAGUCCAAGUCCUAUGUCAUAUAAUACUCGGAAUUCAGGUUCAGCAUACAUUGUUGAUGAUUCCUAGCCUUGUGCUGGUUAGAGGAGCAGUUAAGUUUAAAUGAUGACAACUUUGAAGAAAUUCCAUCCUUCUACAAUGAGAAUGAAGUUACGCAUGAUUAAAAACAAUAGAACCAUCAAGGAGGAUUCUGCAUUUCUCUCUGUAAAGUACGGUCAGGGGCUAUUAUAUAAUACAAAUUGAUUAACAGUGUCUUAGUUUAAUUAUUUUUAUGUUAUUUUAAACAAGAUUAUAUUAUUGUCAUAACAUGAAAUUCAUAUUAUGUGAAUUGCAUUUAGUUUUUGAAUCAAUACAAAUUGAUUAAAU